UACGUAGGGUGCAAGCGUUAAUCGGAAUUACUGGGCGUAAAGCGCACGUAGGUGGCGACGUAAGUCGGGUGUGAAAGCCCCGGGCUCAACCUGGGAAUUGCAUUCGAGACUGCAUUGCUGGAGUACGGAAGAGGAAGGCGGAAUUCCCGGUGUAGCGGUGAAAUGCGUAGAUAUGCGGAGGAACACCGAUGGCGAAGGCAAUCCCCUGGGCCUGCACUGACGCUCAUGCACGAAAGCGUGGGGAGCAAACGGG
rnacentral:rRNA from 1 species